AUUGAACGCUGGCGGCAGGCCUAACACAUGCAAGUCGAGCGGAAGAAGGGAGCUUGCUCCUGGAUUCAGCGGCGGACGGGUGAGUAAUGCCUAGGAAUCUGCCUGGUAGUGGGGGAUAACGUCCGGAAACGGGCGCUAAUACCGCAUACGUCCAGAGGGAGAAAGUGGGGGAUCUUCGGACCUCACGCUAUCAGAUGAGCCUAGGUCGGAUUAGCUAGUUGGUGGGGUAAAGGCCUACCAAGGCGACGAUCCGUAACUGGUCUGAGAGGAUGAUCAGUCACACUGGAACUGAGACACGGUCCAGACUCCUACGGGAGGCAGCAGUGGGGAAUAUUGGACAAUGGGCGAAAGCCUGAUCCAGCCAUGCCGCGUGUGUGAAGAAGGUCUUCGGAUUGUAAAGCACUUUAAGUUGGGAGGAAGGGCAGUAAGUUAAUACCUUGCUGUUUUGACGUUACCAACAGAAUAAGCACCGGCUAACUUCGUG
rnacentral:rRNA from 1 species